rnacentral:misc_RNA from 1 species
GUGAAUUGCUCUCUGAGCGUUAAACUAUAUCCAUCUACACCUGUGAACUGUUGAUUGACUUCGGUCAAUUACUUUUACAAACAUUGUGUAAUGAACGUCAUGUUAUUAUAACAAAAA